rnacentral:lncRNA from 1 species
CAUAGAUGUUGAGAGUAGAAUAGUGGUAACUAGAAGAGUGGGGGAAAGGAGGAAUAGAGAAAGGUGGGUUAAUAAAUACAAAAUUACAGCUAGAUAUGAGGGAAUAAGUUCUAGUGUUCCAUAGAACUAUAGGGUAACUAUAGUUCAGGGGAUCAGGGCAGAGCAUCAGAAGAUGAGAAGGGCCGGUGGGAGUUAACAACUAACUCCAUAUUUUCAAAGCGCUAGAAGAGAGGAUUUUAAAUGUCCACAGCACAAAAAAAUGAUAAUUAUUUGAGGUGGUGGAUAUGCUCAUUACCAGAAUUUGAUCAUCAUACAUUGUAUACAGGUAUUGAAAUAUCACGUUGUAACCCACAAAUAUGUACAAUUACUACGUGUUAAUUAAAAAUUUAAAAAGCAUAUGGAGAGUGUUUCUUAUGUAAGACCUAUGGAGAGUGUUUCUUAUGUAAGAUCAAACAGACCAUCAUCCCAAAUGGAUUACAUGUGGUACUAGAUAGCUUGAUACAGAAGGUAAUUCCUUUCCAGGAGAGUUGAGGGAGUCAGUCACUGGGGGUGGAAGUGGAGGAGGGAGAGAUCAGGGCAAAAAAAAAAAAAAAAAAAAAAAAAAAAGAGAGGAGGAAGUGGGCAGUUAAUAAAGGAGAGAAGAAGGG